UUUUUUUUUUUUUUUUUUUAUGUGCCCCACACCCCAACCCCCCCCCCUCAAAUAUCAUGCAGUAAUUUUCUUGAUUUCGCACACAGUCACGUCACGCAGCAGUGAUCAGUAAAAUUAGGAAAAAGAAAAACUGAGGAUAAUAAUAAUAAUAGGAUCAGAAAAAAAUGUCGAAUACGUUAAAAAGUGGAGUAGUAAGCCGCUUAUCCUAACUAAUCUUACUUGACCAACAUUAAAAAGGGAGAGGGCCGACAAUUAAAUUAAUCAGACACCGCAAUCAAUCAUCCAGCGAAUCACAAUCAAAAAAUCAUCCAACGAAUGAAACAAAAAAAAAGGCACGGCACCAACAACGUAUAAACUUCCAAGUAUAAGGUACAAGUGGUAGCAGACUAACUAACUAGUGUAAUAUUUAUUUGUUCCGAAAAAUAAAUCUGAUAAAUCAGUAGUAGUUUUACAAAAUCAGCUUUUAUUUUUAUUUUUAUUUUUAUUUUUAUAAAAUAAAAUGUUGAGAAGAGAACGGGCCCUUUGCCCGUUUGCCCGUUUGCCGUCUCUCGUCACCCUCUUUCUUCCUGCACGCUGACCGCUGGUAGUAGAGUGUGAGUGGUAGACUAUAAGUUAGUAUUUAUUAAUAUUUAAAUUCACCAUCGCCAAAUCGAUCAUGCUCUCGCACUCCCCUGCACACACUCACACACUAGACCUCGGUUGCUUCCAUCUUUCCCAUGGCUGCUCAUUCACUGUCUCCUCUCAACCUCCGUCAUCUCAGCCCUCAGCUUCCCACCGCUACUCUGCCAUCAUCAUCACUACUCUUAUUGAGGAGGAGUCUUCGUCUCAAUUUUGCCUUACCCAACGCUGCUUCCGGGCAAAGCCCCUGCUGCCAAGCUCCUGCACCCGUCGUCAGAGCUUCCGUCCGCACCCAACUUCUGGGCGAAACUAAGAUUGACGAUGAAAAUAAUAAUAUUCUCAGAGUUGGAGUCAUCUGCGGAGGUCCUUCCGCCGAGCGCGGAAUUUCUCUCAACUCCGCAAGAUCAGUCCUCGAUCACAUUCAGGUACUAGAACGCAUGAUUCAUUGAUUUGCUUUGCGAGCAAACUUACUCCUAUUCUUCAGUUAAUUCCUUCUCCAGACUUACCCCGGUUUAUAAACUUAGCAGCCAGCAGUCUUGCAGAAUUCUUAUUUUUAUCUUCUUCUUUUUUUUCAACAGGGAGAUGAUUUGCAAGUAAGCUGCUACUACAUUGACUACAACCUCAAUGCUUAUGCUAUAUCCUCUGCUCAGGUAGGUUCUGUGCAUUACAAUCAUUCUUCUACUCAUUUUUCAACAAAAAAUUUUUAUGCUCUUUUUCCGCCAGCGUCUUCAGCAGGUUUGCUAACUUGUGCAUGUUAAAGCUUGUUAUGCCUUUUUUUGUUCUUUUUAAAAAUCUGAAAAGACACUCUGCGAAUGUCAAAAUGCUGACCGGAAACUGCUUUUGGUUACGCUAGAUGUAUUCGAACACUCCUGCAGACUUUGAUUUCAAGCUUGACAGGUAAGCGAUUCUCCAUUUUAUUCGUUGUGAUCUCCUUUUCUAUAACAGGUUUUGUUCGGUUCCUUUUCAGCCUUGCCCAAGGUUUCGAGUCUUUAUCUGAGUUUGCACGUCAUCUUGCUGCCACCGUAGACAUAGUUUUUCCUGUUAUACAUGGCCGCUUCGGUGAAGAUGGUGGCAUCCAAGUAUCUUUCUCCUACUACUAAAAAUUCUGCUACUUCACAUGCCUGGAUAAUCUCGUGAACUUGACUUUUGGUGACUAAUGUUACUCUCUCCAAUUUGGUCGAUAAUUCAGGAGCUACUGGAAAAAUUUAACAUCCCAUUUGUUGGUACUCAGUCUAGGGAAUGCCGCAAAGCAUUUGACAAAGUAAAUUUCUCCCUCCAGAGUGCCAUUUCUAUUCAUUUUUGUCAAAAAUUUCAAUGCCACCACAAUGGGAUGCGUUAGGAUUCUGGAAAAUGGAUACUAAACACAGAUUCAGUUUAAGCUGCAAAAUUCAUUGAACUAGUUUGUCUCCUCACAAUGCCCCUUGUUAUAGCAGGCACAGAUGAUAUUUAGUGUCUCCAAUUACAAGGUGAUUCUGAAUGUUGUUAUCUUGAUUCUUGCCAGUAUGAUGCCUCUUUGGAGCUUGAGAGACAAGGAUUCGUGACAGCUCCCAGCAUUUUAGUCCAGGUGCUGAUCCAUUUUGUUACCGCUUCAUCCUUUAAUGUGGUGUGUAAACUGUUAGUAUCCCAAUUUUCUGAGCCCAUGACAAAAGAGAGUUUUCAACAAUGCAAGAAUUUUUUGGUACAAAUGGGCAUAACCCCCCAUGAAAUGGACAUUUCAUAGUUUCUACUAAGGUUUCUGUUAUGCCAAUAACCAUAUAGAGAUAUGUUUCCUUCUGUAGUUUUAAAUGUUGAAAUAUAGCAGCUAUUUUUUUCUCUUAUUUACUUUUCUACCUUGUUCUUAGUUAUAUGAUUAUGAGUUUUGAUAUGUUUUGUUAUAAAACCAGAGAUUGCUUAUCUUUGUCAAUGUGCUGAUGAUUUCUCAAAUGUUUGUUUUUGCAAACAUGCCUUCUUUGAUGCGACAGUCUUAAAAAGAUUAAGAUCUUUAAAGGCGUUUAUAAAGUGCAUUUAUUGUUCCCUGUUGGAAUGAAUACAUAGUAUGAAUUAGUUCUAUGCACUAUUGUUACUUUGGUGAAAGCAGAUUAAAAGUAAAGCAGGCGGUAUUCGGAAAUGAUUAAGCUAGAUUUUCUCUUUUUGCAAUGAAUUGAGGGAUGGAUUUUUGUUACCAGGCAUUCCUGUCGAAACUCCAACAUGUUGUAUUCUAAUAUGGAUUAUUCGACCUAGUCUGACAGAGUUUUAGUAAUGACUACUAGGGGAGUGAAAUGGAUGAAGCUGACCUGUCAAAGUGGUUUGCGAGGUAUCAACUGGACACUGAGCAGGGGAAAGUUGUGGUGAGCUUUGAAUCUUGUUUGUCUGUGUAAAAGUUCAUUGAUGAUUGUAGGAAUAUACUAAAGAUAACAUUUUCUAAGAUAUGCAGGUAAAACCAACACGAGCAGGAUCCAGUAUUGGAGUUACAGUGGCUUAUGGAGUUACAGACACUCUUCAAAAAGCUAAUGCAAUUAUUUCAGAGGUAAUCUGUUGUUUUCUAUGUUUCAAUUUUUUCGACAUGUCUUGCUUUUUAAGGGCAAGCAGUUGAACCUUUUUUUUAUUAUUAAAGAUAUAAAAUCAUAUAGAUUGUGUCAUAAGAACUGCUAGAGUUGAGCAUCACCAGAAUGCAUGCUUUUGUGUCCUUUUGGCCUAUGUCAUGUCACAUACUGCUAGAAGUGAGCAGAUCAUGAUGCAUGCUUUUGUGUCUUUUGGCCUAUAUCAUGUCUAGGACCUCUAUCAUGAAAUAUUAUGUGUUAUUGUGAAUUACAGCUUUGGAUCAUUAUAGCCUGUCAUGUUGCAAUAGCAGUUUCUGUUUUUCACAGGGAAUAGAUGAUAAGGUCCUUGUUGAAAUUUUUCUUGAAGGUGGUAGUGAGUUCACGGCCAUUGUCCUUGAUGUGGGUUGUGAUUUGAAUUGCCAGCCUGUUGUGCUGCUUCCAACUGAGGUAAUGGUCCUUGAGUAUAUAUUUGCUCUCUGUGUUGUUUUGCAAUCUGGGCUUUAUGAUGAUUUGCAAGUGGAAAUUCAUAUUUGCUGAUUUUAAGUUAGUGUAAACGUUUGCUGCGUUUUUCAUUCCCUUUUGUUUUUGGGUGCCUAAUAUCUUACAAUCAAUGGUUUGUAUACCAACCAGGAUAGGAAAACUUGCUUCAUAAAACAGAGAGGUGAAUUUUUGUUUGGGUUCAUUUAUGCAAAAUGCUGCUGCAUGGAGUUCCAAAUGGGUUGGAUUGACUAUUUGGUUUACCCCUUCAAGGAGAAAUUUAAAACUUGCUCAUAUUGAGUUCUAUCAGUAGCUUUUGUGGUGUAAUAUGUAUAGAUUAAUCUUUGCAUUGAUCUGACUGCACAUGAUUUAUUGCCUCUUUUGAUGUAUCUCCACUUUAUUUGAACCUUUGGCUUUCUAGGACUUUGGAAUCCUAAAUAGAACUGUUCCCUAAACAACAGCAGAAUUAUUGGCUCAUUAGCUGCAAAUGAUUAGGACUCAUUAAAACAUGGUUAUAAGGUCAAAGAAGGAAUGGCUUAAGCUACAAGUACAGAAAAUAAGAGUAAGAAAUUUAAAAGAUUGGGAGCAGAAAAAAAAAGAGAGAAAGAAGGUCCUUUGAAUUCCUCUCAAAUAAGCAAUUUAGCAAAGGUUUAAAAUCUCUAUGACAUUUCUUGUAUCACAGAAUUGAAAUGCCUGUAUCUGGGAGUAAGGAUCUUACUCAAAACUGUGCUCACUUGAUGUGCAAAAUGAGCAUACCUUCCCUGAAAAAGUUUAAAAUCUACCCUCUUAUUCAAGGAACUGAAAUUCGUGGUCUAUUCUAUACGUGAUGAAAUUGUUCUAAGAAACUGGAUUCCAAAAGUAUGUUUUAUCAGAUUAGAUUUUCAUUUGUUGGCUAGGUAAUGUUUGAGUCACUGGGCUCUAUCCUUAAGAGGUGAUACUGUAUUUAUAUAUUUCGGCCACCAUUAUCUGCAAAUAACUGCCUGCUUAUUUACUGGUUGCAAUGUGUUGCAUCUACAACCAGGUGGAGCUUCAAUCUUAUGGGAACAUUGAUGUAAGUGACCAGGAUGCAAUAUUCAAUUAUCGCCGAAAGUACCUUCCUACACGGCAGGUUAUACCCAGACUGGUUCUAACUAUAUACUUUAGAAAUUCUGUUGGUUUCACUGUAGUGUAUAUAUUAAUUUAAGAUGUGUGUGAUAGCUGCCUCCAUUCUUGCUAAGAUUUGUUUUCUGUUCUAGCUUAUCUUCAGCCUUUUUCUUUUUGAAGAAUAUUCUGCCUUGUAUUGGAGAAUUUGAAAACACAUUUUUUGCUCCUAGAAUUUAUCUAACUGACCAUGAAAUUUUGUAGGUCACUUAUCAUACUCCACCUCGUUUUCCACUGGAUGUCAUCAAAACCAUUCGAGAAGGAGCCUCAUUAUUAUUUAAGCAGCUUGGCCUGCGUGAUUUUGCUCGAAUUGAUGGUUGGUUUUUGCCACCUUCUGUUAAUGCCUCAUAUUUCCCAGAGAAUAAGUUUGGAAAGUCUGAGUUGGGAACUGUAUUAUUUACUGAUAUCAACUUGGUGAGAGAGCUAAUUAAUGUGCUUCAAUUUUGGAUAUUGCUAUUUAUUUUAUACUUAAAUGCAAUUUUUUCUUUGUUGUGCACCUCUAGAUUAGUGGUAUGGAGCAAACAAGUUUCUUAUUUCAGCAAGCAUCAAAGGUACUAUUUAUCUGCUGUGUGAUAGUUUUAGUGAUAAAGAGAAAGUUGCACCAUCUUGUGAGUCACUUUUUGGGUUCCCAUUAAACUUAUUUGAUAUUUUUUGUCUUACAAAGUUAUAUCGAUUUUCUUUUACUUGCACAUAAAAUUAUUCUCAGGAGAGAUAUAGUAUUAUGGAGAAACAAUAAAUGUUUUAAUUCAUCUUUAAGACUGGAUUAUUUGCAUUAUUCCUACCAUGACUAUCCAAUUUAGGACUUACCUUCACCACAAAGUUGGAAGAUAUGAAAACCGAUUAGUAAUCUGUAGUUACUCACAUUGUAUCUCUUCCCGUCAGAUGAUUUAAGAAUUGAUGAGGAACAUGGAAAAGUGCCCAAAUGCCAACAGAAUUAAGAGAAACUUUGUUAUUUUAAUUAUAGAUCUGUUCUACACCUCUAUGUUGUAGCACAUUAGUGCCUUCCCAUCCCUUUUGUUACCAGUUCAUUUACUCGGAAAAAUUGAUUGAGGAAUUAGAAUAAGAUGCUAGACUAUGAUGUUCAAGUUAUCUUUUGAACUUGAUGCCUCCUGCACGGGAAAUUUGCAGUUGCCAAAGGUUCUUUAUACCCUUUAGAUUGUUAAUUGAAACAGCAAAGAAUAAUUAAAUUCUUUUAGUGAUAGUACAUGAUACAUUUGUGCCUGUGCUCUUAUCUUCCGAUUAAUCUCAUUAUGUUUAGGUUGGCUUUUCCCACUCAAAUAUCCUUCGGACAAUUAUUCAACGUGCUUGCCUGCGAUUCCCCAACCUUUUGACAUACAAUAUCAUAUCAAAUACGUCAUCAAGGAGAUUCAAAUCUUUGCCAUCCACGGGAUCACUUCCUGUAAAUCAACAUGCCAGAAAAGUUUUUGUUAUCUUUGGUGGAGACACUUCUGAACGACAAGUAUCCCUGAUGAGUGGAACCAAUGUUUGGCUGAACUUGCGAGCUUCUGAUGAUGUAAGUGAUAUAUUUUACUUACACUUGUUCAUGUAACAAACAUGUGUGUAUUUACUAGGCUAUUAUUGAAAUCCAAUAUGGUUCUUAAUUUCACUCCCAACUAUCCCAAUAUAAAUGUUCUGCCAUGCUCAACUUUGCUGUUUAGAGGUUUAUUUUUAUGUAUGCAGCUAAACAGUGGAAAUACAGGCAGUUAUGAAGUGUUAGUCAUUUUUAAUGUUAUUAGCUCUUUUUACUUAAGCUGCAUGUGUUCAGUUUUACAUUCACUUGGCUGGAUAUAUUUUCUGUUCAGAUUUACAUACCAAUUUUUCUUCUAUUUUGAGUUACCAACAUUUUGUCAUGAAUAGUUAAGUGACAUGUAUAAAGCUACCUUCAUUGAAUAUAUAGUUGAUUGGCCCUAGAUAACUGAAAAAAGUUAUCAAGGCUCCAUCUAAUCCUCAAGGUGAGCCGCUUUUUUAACAACUCCCUAAUCCUAGUUGUAAAUAUUUCUCUGUAAAGCUUGCCUUACUAAUUCUUUAAGAACUGUAGCAGAAGGUUCCUCUAAUUCCUGAACACCAAAUGAAAAUCUUUCUUUCUCUUUGUUUAACGUUGCAUUGAAAUGUCACUGAAACACUAGCCCGUAUACUAAAUCCACCAUCCAUAAAGCUCUAUAUCUUCAGAUACUAGAGUUGUUAAACAGUCAGCUUUGUUUGAUUAUUUUUUAAUGUUUCCUUUGAUAACUUGCAUAAUUUUGUAUGUCAUGCUCAUUCUCAUAGAUGGGACUGCUCUGUAUCUACUGAUCAGUUGGUUCCUUAGAAACAGUGGUACAUUGAUUCUAGUGGUUUCGAUGAUGAUCAUUGUUCAUCCUCUUUUAGAUACUUGUUGAGCUCUCUAGGAAGAAUAUGCAAUUCUCAGUUAUAACCUUGAAAAGACUUGUCAAAUUGAUACGAGGAAGUUGUAACUAUAUGCCUCUUGCUGUAUUUUAUGGUACAUUCUGAUUCAUUAUGUUCCAGAGAAUUGUUAUAGCUUGUUGUUGUCCUGCAGUUUAGUGUCUUUUUUUUUAAAAAAAAUAUUAUCUGGAAUAUGUUGUAGACCUGUUUAUGCAAGUACGCUGUAUAUCAAUUGAUCUAUUGCUGCUACAGCUUGAAGUAACACCUUGUUUACUAGCCCCAUCAAAUGGUUAUUCAUCUGGCUUGGAAUCUACUGGGAAGGAAAUCAAAGUGAGCUCUAGGACGGUUUGGACAUUACCGUAAGCAAAAUAUUUUUUGCCAAUUUUAUUGGAGAGCAUAUGGUAUAAUUCUGUUGAUGGUCAACUUGUCCUUGUUUCUUCUUCUUUCUUUCUUUUUUGCCCUUUUCUGAGAGUUGUGAUAUUUCAUAUUUGAUGUGAUCUGAAACACCAAGAACAUGGUUUGAUAUGAUCUGAAACCAAGAACAUGAUAGGUGAUAAAUAACCUUGUCAUGGAUUCCAAAUUAUUAUUGAGUUGUCUAUCCGUGCCGUACUUUUUCAUGUAUUACCCUUGUGCAGUUACUUGUUCUUUAAACAUAAACUAGAUUUACCAUCUACCAUUGUAAAUUUAUGAUCAGCAGUUUUCUUAUUGUUGUUUUUUCCUUUAUGUGUUCUUAUGAUUGUAUUGUUGAUAUGGUAAACCCCUACCACCCCUUAUCUGGCCCAAAUUGUGGGGAACUUUAAGAAAGAAAAGAAGCAAGCCCUAGCAGAAUCUAGAGUUUUUAAACCAACCCAAAAUGCCUUGAGCUGUCUUUUUUAAAUAAUAUCUCAAUUUAUUUGGUUGCAGGUAUUCCCUUGUUCUUAGACAUACUACAGAAGAAGUUCUUGAUGCAUGUAUUGAGGCAAUAGAACCCACACAAGCAGCAUUGACAUCUCAUUUACGUAAACAAGUAGUGGAUGAUCUCAUGGAAGGAUUGAGCAAACACAAUUGGUUCAGGGGAUUUGAUAUUUCUGAUGAUUUACCAAAGAGACUUUCCUUGGAGCAGUGGAUCAAACUGGCUAAGGAAAUUCAGGCAACAGUUUUUAUUGCAGGUAUUGAUGCAAAAGCUAUUCACUGCAUUUAAUAAAUAAGAUAAUGACAGGUACAAUGCACUUUAGAAUGGGAGACACCUCAAAACCCUUGUUCUACAUUAGCUUUAAUCAUUUCUUCCUCUUCUUGCCAUUCCUUCUACCAUGGCUCAUUCAACUUUCUGAUUUCCUGAUCAUGCUUGCUGCUUACUGUAAACUAAGAAAAAUGGAGAGAAGAAAUACUUUUCUUCUAUUUCACUUUGGACUACACAAUAUACAAAUAUAUAUAUACACAAGUGGAUACUAUAAUCAUAUGAUACUAUAAUCAUACUAUUACCUAAUUAAUAUAUGAUACUAUAAUCAUAUGAUACCUAAUUAAUAUAUGAUACUAUAAUCAAAUCUUUCCUAAUAUUUAUAUUAUCAAAUCUUUCCAUAAUAUCAGAUCACAUAUCUUCAACACUCCCCCUCAAGCUGGUGAAUAUAGAUCUUCCAUUCCCAGCUUGACAACACUUUCAUGAAACAUGUUGCUACACAGUCCCUUUGUCAUCAUAUCUGCAAGUUGAAGUCCUGUCGGAACAUAUGGAGUACAAAUCAGUCCACUUUCUAGCUUCUCUUUAAUAAAGUGCCUGUCUAUCUCUAUGUGCUUCGUCCGAUCAUGUUGCACUGGGUUGUGAGCUAUACUUAUAGCAGAUUUGUUAUCACAAUAUAGCUUCAUCGGUUUGCUCCAUUGAAUCCUCAAGUCUUCUAGGAUAAUUUUAACCCACAAUAAUUCACAUACCCCUGCUGCCAUAGCCCUGAACUCUGCUUCAGCACUUGACCUUGCUACCACACUUUGUUUCUUGCUUCUCCAGGAUAUUAAGUUUCCUCCAAGAAAUGUACAAUAUCCUGAAGUUGAUCGCCUGUCAACUGGAGACCCUGCAAAGUCUGCAUCUGUGUAAACUGCCAGAUCAAUUUCAGGACCCUUUUUGAAUAAAAUUCCCUUCCCUGGAUGUGCCUUUAAGUAAUGAAGCACUCGAUAAACUGCUUGUAGAUGAACUGCUCUAGGAUCAUGCAUAAACUGACUAAUAACACUGACUGAGUAAGCUAUAUCUGGCCUAGUAUGUGCGAGAUAAAUGAGUUUCCCAACAAGUCUUUGGUACAUCUCUCUGUCCACAGCUGUAUCUCCAUGAGUCUCACUUAAUUUGUGAUUCUGCUCAAUGGGAGUUGCAACUGGUUUGCUUGCUGUCAUGCCUGUUUCCUUGAGCAGGUCCAUAACAUACUUCUGUUGAGAAAUAAAAAUUCCCAUGCCUUGAUCGAGCCACUUCAAUUCCCAGAAAAUACUUCAAUUUUCCUAAAUCCUUUAUUUCAAAUUCCUUGGCUAGGCACCACUUCAAAGUUUUCUUCUCUACUUCAUCGUUUCCUGUCAGUAUGAUGUCAUCUACGUAUACAAUCAAAACAGUAACUCCCCCCAAGGCUGAAUGCUUGAUUAACAGGGUAUGAUCUCCUUGACUUUGCUUGUAACCAUUAGCUAUCAUUACCUUGGUAAAUCGUCCAAACCAAGCACGUGGGGAUUGUUUCAACCCAUAUAAUGCCUUUUUUAACCGACAAACCUUGUUCUUGUCAACCCCACUGAAUCCCGGUGGAAUGCUCAUAUAAAUCUCCUCUUCUAACUCUCCAUGAAGAAAAGCAUUCUUCACAUCGUAUUGCUGUAAUUUCCAAUCAAAAUUAACAGCCAAGGAUAGCAGAAUUCUCACUGUAUUCAUCUUUGCUACUGGAGCAAAUGUUUCCCGAUAAUCUACUCCAUAUGUCUGUGUGUAUCCUUUCGCGACUAACCUUGCCUUGUAGCGUUCUAGGGACCCAUCUGCUUUAAACUUUACUGCAUACACCCAUUUACAGCCCACUACUUUCUUGUUCUUUGGUAAAUCAACUAAUUCCCAGGUCUCAUUCUUCUCUAAUGCAUCCAUUUCUACUUCCAUAGCAAGUCUCCAUUCUUUCUUUGAUAAUGCUUCAGACAAUGAGCUAGGAAUAGAGACUGUAUUUAAGGUGGAAAGGAAGCUUUGAUGGCUCGGGGAAAACUUCUCAAAAGACACAAAGUGAGACAAUGGAUAUAGGGGUCUUUUGGUGCAUUCUCGGGGUUUUUUCCUUACAGCAAUAGGUAGAUGUAGGUCCUGGUCAAGGCUAAGAGGCUCAGGACAAGGUGAUUUAGAGCUGGAAGAAUAGUCGGUCGGUGGUGUAGAAUUCAGAUUUGAUUCACUCAUUGUUACCUCAUUCCCGGAGCUUGGUUUAGAGGAUUGUUCUUGCCUUGUAACCACGAUGGGAUCUCCUUUCCUUGUAUACACUUGGUCAAACCGGAACCAGUCAUAGAUUUUACGGUCUUCCUUUUUUUCUUCUACCACAUCAGAUUGAAGAAUUGACUCUUGGAAUUCAGAUUUGGAUGACUCAGAUGUGGUCAACUCUAAGGAGGGAAAUUUUAACUCCUUAUCUUCAAGUGUAUCUAACUCCCCCUGAUGAUAAGGAGUGAUGAAAUAGGGCUUAUUUUCAACAAAUGUAACAUCUGCUGAGACAUAGAGUUUUCUAGUAGGUGGAUGAUAACAUUUGUAACCCUUUUGAGUAGAUGAGUACCCCACGAAGACACACUUAAGAGCACGAGGAUCUAACUUCCCACGGUUAUGACUAUGGACAUAAACAAAGGAAGUACAUCCAAAAACUUGAGAAGUGAGAUUAAAGGAAUAUCGAAUAUCGGGGUAAAAUUUGGAUAGGUUCUCUAGUGGACUUUGAAACCCCAAGAUCUUGGAAGGAAUUCUAUUUAUGACAUAAGCUGAUGUGAGUACAGCUUCUCCCCAAUAUGCUUUUGGCACACUUUGUUCAAACAGUAAGGCUCUAGUGCACUCAAGAAGAUGUCGGUUUUUCCGUUCUGCCACUCCAUUUUGUUGUGGAGUGGCAAUACAGGAUGAUUCAUGUAUGAUUCCUUCUUUUUGGAAAAACUGACUCAAGGUUUGAUUGAAAUAAUCACGAGCAUUAUCUGAACGAAAGUGUUUUAUCUUGGUGCCAAAUUGAUUUUGAAUCAUUGCAUGAAAAACAGGGAAAAUAUAACUCAAAUCAGACUUAUUUUUGAGUAAAUAGAUCCAAGAGACUCUUGUGCAGUCAUCGAUAAAUGUGACAAACCACUUAGACCCUGAGAUUUUUGGAAUAGUUGAUGGCCCCCAAAUAUCACUAUGGAUUAAAAAGAAAGGAGAAGACGAUCGUUUAUUACUGAUAGGAAAUGGGACACGAGUGUGUUUAGCAUACUCGCAAAUAUCACAAUGAAAAGACUGAACAUCAAAUCCCUUGAACAAGGAAGGAAACAUUAUUUUUAAUGCAGAAAAAGACACAUGACCUAGACGUCUAUGAUGUAACCAGAUGACAUCUUUAUUGGAGGGUGAAAACAAUGUGGACAGGGCAGAUUUACUAAAUUCUGGUUGACUUGAUGUAUCCAAGUAAUAGAGUCCAUCAUGCUCCUUAGCUAGUCCAAUCCUCUUCCCCGAGCCCCGGUCCUGAAAGUCACAACAGGAUUCAUCAAAUAUAACAGAGUCAGCUAGAUCCUUGGCAAGUUUUUUUACAGAAACCAAAUUUGUAGAUAAUCGAGGAACAUGAAGAACAUUUUUAAGAAUCAAAUUUGGAGUAACUUUGACAUCUCCGAUACCUGCAACAGUGGUUGUAGUACCAUCUGCAACAACAAUCUUUCUAUUGCUAGGACAGGGAUUAUAGGUUUUGAAUUUAUUUGAAGUAUGAGUCAUAUGGUCCGUAGCACCAGAGUCAAGAAUCCAGACAUUCCUAAGCUCAUUGCCUAAAACACUAAAUGCAAAAGAGACUAGAGCCUUACCUGAAAGUGUCAAUGAACACAUACCCGGAUUCCUUGAUUGAGAAUUGUUAGUUGCUGGUUUGUCAACUGUCUCUAACAUACUUUUAAGCUUCUCAAUUUCCUCCAUACUAAACCCUCCAAUCACUUGAGUUGGAUCUUGAACCGACAUAUGAGCCUGCCUUUGCUGACCACCUUUUUGUCCCCAUUCACGAGUGGGUGGUUUCCCAUGUAGUUUCCAGCAUUGAUCUAUGGUGUGUCGUGGUUUCUUGCAGUAUGUGCACCACAACUCCUCGCGAUUCUUUUGCCCACUUGUUUGAUUGGUCUUGUCCGCAGCAACCUUGUUCAGUACCAACCGCUGAAAUUUGGAACUUAAAAGGUUUGAAUUUUCUAUUGAAGGUACCUCUAACAUAAUACCCCUGCGACUUUCUUCUCCACAUACUUGGGAUAUUGCUUCUGUUAAAGAAGGAAACUUUGGCCUGCCCAGAAUUUGAAUUCGUAUAAGAUCGAAUUCAGAGUUUAGGCCAGCCAAAAAAUCAUAAACUCGAUCCCUUUCUAUGAACUUCUUGAUAAACACUGCACAUUUGCUACAGUUCAAAUCAAGUGCCCUGUAAUAAUCCAGUUCCUGCUACUGGUUUUGCAGAAAAUUGGCAUACUCCGUCACUGUUUUUGUCCCUUGUUUUGCUCCAGUUGUCUUUGUCUUGAUGUCAUAGAUAAGAGCUGCAUCAUUAACCUUGGAAUAUGUCUGAUGAAGGGCAUCCCAAAUUGCCUUUGCUGUAGGAAGAAACAUACAUGUAUCGCUGAUUUCAGGAAUCAUGGAAUUCCAUAACCAAGACAUGAUCAUUGAAUCCUCUUGUUCCCAUGCUUCAAACCCCGCCGUUUCACUAUCCGGUGCUAUUUCCAAUAGAUGACUCAACUUUCCUUUUCCUUUCAGGAAUGUUCGAACCAAUUGAGACCACUUCAAAUAAUUUUUUCCAUUUAGUCUAUAUGCUGCCUGGAUGUUUUGAAACUCUGUUGUGUUCCGUGUACUUUGUUCUUCUUCCAUAGUUGAAGACAAUUGCCGCGUUGAGGAUGUAGCAUCCGCCAUGAUUGAAUAGGAGGGGGGGAAAAAUGUAUAGUAACAGGAACAGCAAUGAAGGCUGAAGAGAAUAAGAAAGGAACCAGCAAUUAAGGCUGGAAUUGACAAGAAGCAAAGGUGGUAUUUUUCCCAGAACCCUAGACGGGCUCUGAUACCAUGUAAACUAAGAAAAAUGGAGAGAAAAAAUACUUUUCUUCUAUUUCACUUUGGACUACACAAUAUACAAAUAUAUAUAUACACGAGUGGAUACUAUAAUCAUAUGAUACUAUAAUCAUACUAUUACCUAAUUAAUAUAUGAUACUAUAAUCAUAUGAUACCUAAUUAAUAUAUGAUACUAUAAUCAAAUCUUUCCUAAUAUUUAUAUUAUCAAAUCUUUCCAUAAUAUCAGAUCACAUAUCUUCAACACUUACCCUGGUAACAUGACUAGUGAAUCUAACAAGAUUGGAUCAGAAAAAUACAUUUAAGAGUUAGCAUUAGCUCAGUUCAAAGUGUGAAGGUUUUAGAAAUAUGUCUUCUUUUCCAGAAGAGAUAAUCUAUCAAAGAAUUUAUAUUUCUGUAGACAUACUAUUCAACUAAUAACAAAUGUGGAGAAAGUACUAUAUGCUGAAGAUAGACAAAUAAGUUGGUUCUGUCUGUUCAAACUUGAGUUUUUAGUAUGUUUAAGAACUCUAACAGAGCUCUUCAAGUUAAGUCCAGUAUGGAAGCAAAAUAGAAAUAGUAUGACUAUCACUCAUUUCUCAAGAAUCUAGUCUGCCUGUACAGCAUUUUAUUGAGUGGUUAUUUCAGAUUAUCAUUUCCAGAGAUUAAUAUACUUUCGGAAGGGGGCUAAUAGUACUUCAAAAGAUCAGAGGGAAUUUUGUCCAUAGCAUCCUCAACUUUUUAUAUCAAUUGACAUGUCAAAGACACUAUAAGGUUCCUAAGAUCUAACUCGCGUUGUGUAUAAUUUGAUAGUGCAUGGAGGCAUAGGUGAAGAUGGUACCCUGCAGUCUCUGCUAGAAGCUGAAGGAGUUCCUCAUACUGGUAAUGUGAUGCUGAUGUUUGACAAUGUAGUGUACAAGGCUUCUGAUGUCCAUGACUGUUACAAUAAAUGAUCAUGUACUAUUUUUGAAAAUUGAAGGUCCAGGAUUGACUGCUUCCAAAAUAUGCAUGGACAAAGUUGCUACAUCGCAUGCCCUUCAAAAUGUAUGGUAACUAAAUUGAUAAGUCUCAUUGAGUACUCACUAUUCUUGUGUCUCUGGGGUUUCAGUUCUGUAUUUGCAGUUGUAAGGCCAUCGUUUGCUUCUUGAUGCCUUUAACUCGAUUCAUCCUUUGGGCGCAUUGUUUAAUGGUCUUAUCUUCUAGAUUUAAUUUUUUUUCUUAAGCCAAUUGGUGAAUUGGAUUCUCAAUAUGGUGAGGUCUGUGAAGGGCCAUAUUAUGGCCUUACCUCUACAUGAGAUAUGCUUUACUGCAUUAAGCCUACAAGGAUUAAUAGAGAAACCUUCCUGGUGAUAUGAUGUUAAGAACAAUUCCUUCAGAUUGCUUUUAUGCUACAAGUGCAUUUGCAUCAACGUGUUGAACUUCUUAAUUUACUAUGGAUGGACAGCUUAAGGAUUGUGGGGUCCUUACAAUCAACAAAGAAGUGAGGAGUAAAGGAGAUUUGCUGAAAAUACCUGUACUUGACAUUUGGCAAGAUCUGAGAGCCAAACUUCAGACUGAAACAUUAUGUGUUAAACCAGCAAGAGAUGGAUGUUCUACGGGGGUUGCAAGAUUAUGGUAUGUUACCUUUAUAUUAUUUUAUUAUUUUCCACGUACAUGCAGAUUCUAGAAUUCAUAACUCAUGCCUGCCAUGGUAUUUGGUUGCUUUAUUGUCAUUACAUUGUUUCUUCAUACAGCUGUGAUAAGGACCUUGAGGUAUACGUGAAAGCAUUGGAAGCCUGUAUUCCUCAAAUUCCUCCAAAUAGUCUGUCAAAGGUACAGAUGCAUUUGCCUGAAGUCAUCUUUUGUGGUUGUGGCUGUGCCAUUGAAGGUCUCUUGAUCUUGUUAUUCUUUUCCUUCCUUUGAGUAAUAAAUAGUUGUUAGUCAUUUGCUUCCAAGUUAGCUUUUGCCUAGACUUAUUUUCGAACCAAGAGUGACUUGUCACUUCAGAAUUUUGACUCUUAAUGGGAGUUAACUUUGUCAAAGACUGGUAAAUGAGGUUGGUGUCUCGUGAGAUAUGCAGAGUUUUUCAAUGAAAGCAUUGUAGUCCACCUGGGCACAAAAUUUAAUCGUCCAGUGCAGAAGUUAUCGUUGCUGUUCAGACAGGAUAUAAUUUCAUCUGAGUGAACUUUUUCUUUGACAUCAUAGGCACAUGGUAUGAUCGAGAUGCCAAACCCUCCUCCAGAGCUAUUAAUCUUUGAACCUUAUAUCGAGACUGAUGACAUAGUUGUUUCGUCCAAAAUGAAGAACAAAAAUAAGCAACAUCUCUUGUGGGAAGGACGUAGUAGAUGGGUAGAAGUUACAGUUGGAGUUAUAGGAAAAUGUGGAUCAAUGCGUUCGUUGACUCCUAGCAUAACUGUGAAAGAAUCUGGCGGCAUUUUAUCACUUGAAGAGAAGUUCCAAGGUACUUCCCAAUCUUAUUUUCAUCCAAUUUUGGAUCAAAUAUGAGCUUCUGCUAUGUCAUCCGUUUUCUUUGGAGUUACAACAUUCCUCUAGUUAUACAAAGUGAGAGUUUUGCAUGCAAACAUUCUUAGUUAUGAUGCAAUUACCAAAUGCAACUUGCAUCCCAACUCCCCGGGCACCUAUCUAUGUGCAAGCGAGAUUGGGCAUUUAUGUUCCUAUGUACCAAGGUUUAUGUAAGUUAAAAUGUAAUGCAGCAACAUCGAGUACAUUGUGCCUUAAUGAAGCAUAGCAGGUGUGUAAUGUUGUUAAUUAUUCUUGGCAGGUGGAACUGGCAUAAAUUUGACUCCACCACCACUUUCAAUUAUCAGGUUCUUUAUCACUUCUCAUUUUUGUAGAAACUGUAAUAUUUGAUGUGAUCUGCUGGAGUGAAAUUCCUACUAAAUUAAAGUACUGGAAAAGCCGUGAGGAAUUUGUUUUUACACUUCAAGGAUGGUAAUAAAAACCAUGUUCAGAAAUUGACCAUUAGAUUUCAGAUUGUAUUAGUAAAAGCUGUAUGUAGAACUUUUGUAUCCCAGGGCCUUAGUGUUGUUCUAGGCAGAGCUUGAUUCCUAGGAAAUUAACAAGCUUCUUUAUGUAUUUUGAUGAGCUCAAUCUAAAAAUUUUGUAGGCUGCAUCUGUUCAUUUCUCACUUUUUGUUCAUUUGCAUGCAGUUGUGUACAUGUAUGGGGCUCUACACCUAUCUUAGGAAUAUCUGAUCAGAUUUUGGCCCAUUCUUUAAAAGAUUGAUUAUUUGUGGGUGUUCGUGCUUCUGCUUACUGUUUUGUUCCUUGUGUUGAUGCUGUUUACCUUGUCUCAGUAACGAGGCCCUGGAGAAGUGUAAACAACGUAUUGAACUUAUUGCAAACACACUGCAGUUAGAAGGAUUUUCGCGUGUUGAUGCAUUUGUCAAUGCCGACAGCGGUGAGGUAAUAUUUACUUUUGUUGAUUACGCUACAAACUAUCUCAGCUCUGUUUUUCAUGACGCAUGCUGAAUUUCCGAAGCAGUAUUGAGAACGUUUCGAUCUGGAUUAGCAUGUAUAACAUUAAUUUGGCGACACUGGUAGUAUAUCCCGCUGGUCUCCUCCUCUACGACUACGGCUGCUAGUAAUUUUGUGAAAAGCAAAUAUCAUUCUAGGAAGGUUCUUGAGUUGCAUGUAAUAAUAAAAAAAAAUGUUGAUAUGUGACAUGAAGAGUUGUUUGGAGUCGCCUUCUAAUUGCGCGAGACUAUUCCAGGUGCUGAUUAUUGAAGUGAAUACGGUGCCUGGGAUGACACCUUCAACUGUGUUAAUUCAUCAGGUGAUGGUUCCCAAUCAUAAACUAUGGCGUUAGUUACUUAUUAAUUUCUGCUUGGGAAACAUGAAGUCGUAGGUCAACCGAGGAAGGAACUUGAAAGGAAUGCUUAGUAGUUCAGCAUCGUAGUAAAUCUAAUCAGUCAGUUUUGUCCCAUGGUCAGGCGCUGGCAGAAGAACCUCCCCUGUAUCCUCACCAGUUCUUCCGCACGCUACUGGAUCUGGCAUCUGAGCGGUCAACCUGAUUUGGUCGUUGAUAAUCUGCAGACUCUUCGCGCAUGAAAAUUUCAAAAGACCAUUUACAGAAUUGGAAAAGAUGAUUUUUCCCGGAGGGAACAUCAUUUGCAAGUAACGGUGAAAGGACUUUUUGCCAUUUUGUAUUGAUGAUUAUGUCUGUUUGGAACCGUAAUAGUAUGUCGUAAGUUGCGCCGUCUAUUUUCACGUCCGAAAGAAUAUCCAACGGCUGUUAAGAAGUAGUACUACAAUACUCUGAAAAUAAAAUAAAACAAAACAAAAAAUACGCAGAAGGAUCAGUCGUUGCAGAGACGCUGUCAAGCCAUCUCUACAAUAAUGAUAAAUGCUUGGAACUCCCGACCACCACCUUACCCUCGUCUAACGUCUGCGUUUGAGCAAGUAAUAAAGUAGUUGUGUGGAAUGACUGCUGCCGGAGCUACAUCGGGGUCUCGGGGUAAGUUUAGUAUUCAAGCCGUGUGUUUGAACAAGCUCGAGUAAUUGGGUCCAUUGGCCAAGUAUGAUUUGCACCCUAUAUAUAUAUAUUUUUAAUUUUUUUAGUUUCAUAUAUAUCAUAUUAUAAAAAAUAUUACAUACCGCUGUACGGCUGCAUGGUUUGAGAUUACACCCAAUGCUUUUUCUAGCUUCUUUAAUAACAUGCACAGACCCUUUUGUUUUUUAGUAUAAGUGAGUAGAUUCCAAUGUAUAAGUGAGUAGGUUCCAAUUCGCGACCUCAUAUUUACAUGCAUUCUCUCGAACCACACAACUAACAAGCAUUCAAAAUAAACGUCAUUCUUUUGUAGGAUUCAACGUGGGCUUGGUAAUACUUUGUAUCUAAAACUUAAGAAAUUUGACCAUAUUAGAGUAGGUGGGUUUGCUCCCUCUUUCCAAAAGAUUAAAGCGCUUCUGUCAUGGGCGUUAAACAUCCCUUUAUUCUGAAAGAAGGGUUUGACCUUAGUGCGUAUCAUAAAUGUCAAAUUCAUGUAUUAGACUGUAAAGGAACUAAAGGAGACCAUUUUCUUUUCUUGUACCUUGUCUAAGCACUUAAUGUCAGACGAUAGUCUAUUAGCGCUAUUAACAAUGAAUUUUGUUCACCACUGGUAUUGUCAUAUUAUUAAUUAAGAAAAAUUAUUCAAUACGUCUUUCACAUUUCAUCAAAUGAAUUUUUUUUAACUUUUUAUUUAAAAUAUUAACAUUACAUCCCUUCUAAAUUCAAUUUUAAUAAAUUUAGUCCUAACCUAAACUGACAAUCACUUUUUUAGCCUGAAAUCACCACAUGAUCCGCAUGCAAUUAUUUUUUAUGUAUGAAAAGGCCAAAUUUGUUUCACUUUUUUAGUAACAAAAAUGAAUAUGGAAUGGGUCUGAUCCCACUUUUUUAGGGAAAAAAUGAAUAUAGUUUUGGUUAUAUCCUACCUUUUUAUGAAUAAAAAUGAAUAUGGAUCGAAUCAUUUAUUUAACUAUGAAGGGCAUCUAACCUUUGUGCCGCUAAAAAAUGAUCAUGUGUGAAUCAUGUGAUUGGUAUGGUAUAAAAAGUAGUUAAAAAUCUAGGUUAAAAUCAAAUUUUACCGACUUAAUUUUGUAAGGGACGUAAAGUUACCAUUUUAAAAGUGAAGAAUAAAAAAAUUUAGUUGGCGAGAUGUGAGAAAUAUUUUGAACGAUUUUCUCUGUUAAUUAUGAGAUGUCUGAAAAUCUUCAAGUUAUAUAAUUAGACAAUUUUGCCUUGGACCUAUCGGUUUUAAUUGAAUAAAAAUAUUUCGAUAAAAGGCAGGCUUUAGGUGCGUGAAUCACUAAUUCUCCAUUCAAAUAGUUCAGAUGGUACACUUAGAUAAUCUUUUAGAUUUUUAACCAUUUAUCCAUAAUUCAAUGGAGACAGCUUCAUCAUAUCCUUCUUAGAUUGAUAUCCUACCCAAUAUAUAUAUAUAUAUAUAUAUAGCAUUGGUACACAACGCGAGCCAUCUUUAAUAUAGCAUUCUGAACUAUAGCCAUCUUUAACUUUAAACGAAACAUCGAGCAUUUGGUAGACGUUUACUACUAGCUAAUUAUUUUCAUUGGUACACAACGCGAGCAUUUUGGUUGAGGCCAUUUUGUUUUUUUGCCAACAUUGGGAGUUUUCUUUUCUUUUCUUAUUUUUUUUUUAUGUUUUUUGGUUGGGGUUAACUGGUAAUAUUCAACUAGUGCAAGAAUAAUACCCCAAUGCAUUGGUUUCUCCAUAUGAUUUACAUCAUUACGUGAUAAAAUAUUUUACAUCAUUACAUGAUAUAAUUAUUCGUAGGUGUUUUGAAGCAGCCUAGUGGAGUACAUUGACAAUUCACAACUCCUCUCAUCUCCGGGCGGCUAUGUCGAAUUCGAACCACGAGACUGGAUCAGUCAGAUGGCAAGCAUAAGACCUGGCAAGGAGCGUUUGGCGAGGUCUCGGG
rnacentral:lncRNA from 1 species